rnacentral:rRNA from 1 species
AAUCAACGCUGGCGGCGCGCUUAACACAUGCAAGUCGAACGAGAAAGUGGAGCAAUCCAUGAGUAAAGUGGCGUACGGGUGAGUAACACGUGGAUCAUCUACCUUUUAGUGAGGAAUAACCAUGGGAAACCGUGGCUAAUACCGCAUAAGCCCGAGAGGGGAAAGUCGAAAGACGCUGAAAGAGGAGUCCGCGGCCGAUUAGCUAGUUGGCAGGGUAAAAGCCUACCAAGGCAUAGAUCGGUAGCCGGCCUGAGAGGGCACACGGCCACA